rnacentral:sRNA from 1 species
AAAAGAAAGACACCUAAGAGAGCAAGAUUCUUGUUAUUCAUGAUAACAUUUUUGAAGAUUCAAAAAAAAUGAGUGAUUGAUGAAUUAUUUAUGGUCAGCAUCUAGUAAAAUCAUAUCGACAUAUCCAGUCAGCCUUAGUAGAAAUGCACCAAAGUGAUAUAGAGUGGAUUUCUCUCGAUCCGUGUAGAAAUGGACCACCACAUUGUCUGUUUAGAAUAUUAUAUUUUUUUGUAUAAAAUUGUAGACAUAAUCUCUUAUUAAUAAAUAUUUAAUGCAAGUUAGUUAUUUUUAAUUUUAUGAAAAGAGGUUAACUCCAAUAUGUACCAUACUACUUGAAGAAGUU